rnacentral:lncRNA from 1 species
CAGAGCACACCGCCGCUGGCCGCUGCCGCAUCCGAGAAAGCCAGCCCGCAUCUCCCGCUUGUCGUGCCCGUGCUCGCUCGCCUCCUCGAGCCAUCCAAGCGGAGGUCGCCUCCAUCGACCAGCUGCAGUUACAACGUCGUCUCAAGCAGGGAGCAGCAGUAGCAUCAUCCGCCAUGGAAGCUGCCGCGCAGGCCCAGUUGCAUGCCCGGUCUUCUCCAUCCCCCAUUUUCUCCCUUUCUUCUCUCAACUCCUCUCUUCUCUCACUAAUCCCUCUCUUCCCAGGUAAUCAGCAGCACGGCGAUCCCCUCUGCAUCCAUUAACGCGAGCAUCGUGGCUUCCCGUCACCCGUAGUGGAGCCCGCGCAGCUGUGGCCUGCCUCUGCUUUGCCCUGCGUCGAGCAAAGCUGCUGCUGGCUCGAUGGAGGCGACCUCCACUUCAGUUCAUAAUGCGUCAAACUCGUGUUUAGCACAAAUGCAUAGUUAGCUCGUUGGUAUGCUUCAUAGAAAUCUGAAGUUAUAGUGUGUCAUGAAUAAUGCGUAGCCUAGCUGGUCGGCGCUUUGGUCUGCAACCUGAGAUGUUGGGGUCGAGUCCCCAACGAUGCGAUGUAUUUUUCAUGCAUUUUGCCUGUCCAGCGGAAUUACUUUCACGUCUAUUUAUUUGUUGUCUAGUUUAGAUGUGGUCACAAAUGACUGAUUAAGUCUGCCUGGUAGUGCACCUAGUUUCCACCCAGGGGUGUGGCAUUCGAAUCCCAGAUGUCCCAUUUGUUUUGCCCCCAUUUGUUCUGUUGUUCUACAAGCCAACGCCGGCCGAUGUUAGUUUUGUUAGUUCUGGUCUGCCAAUUGAACAUUUUCGGUUGCAAGUCUCAUUGGUUAGCCUACUGUGUUACACCUAGGAGGUAUUAGGUUCAAUACCCAGCCUCCGCAAUUUUGCCAUGUUUAUUUUUCUUUUUGCACACACAAACAUUGUUCGCAGCCACCUCAAUAUUAUUUUCGCAUUUAAGGCAUAGUAUCUUGUGUUGCACAUUUCUGAUGGACGUACUUCCGUUCAGAUGUUCUUAGGUGUAAACCAACUAGAAUGUCGUGUAGAGUCACAUGCUUCACCUCUUGCCUUGUUAACAACAUUUUAAAAUUGUCGUGUACCUAAACGGGGUUGACUUAAAUAUUUAAAUGUAGAGUUCCGUCAAUAUGUGUUUGAUUGUUGUGAAUUGUCAUGCCAUGCCUUGCAUAAUUGAAAUGGACAUGCAUCAUAUUAGAGUGCGCAUCAUAUCGUGCAUUUGUAGUGGUGAAUAUCGUGUGUUGAUUCUUGUUUCUGGUUUGCUUCUUCUCGAUAGAGUUCCGAACCGCUUCGGAAUGUGACGAUCCGUUCGACUACAUCGGUUCGUUUGCUUCACGGAGUCUUUCUUCUUUCAAGCGGGAUCACAUGCAAGAUGACCAUUUCCCUAGAUAUCAUUACUAUCAUCGUCAUGCUAGUUGUCUCGUUUCUUUUGCUAUGUCUCGCUUCCUACCACAUGUUUAAUAUGCCUCCCAACAUUGUCAUGAAAAACCUCUAAUCUUUCCACAACCCACCAAACCACUAUUUAGCUAGGUUAUCGCUUCCUCAGCCUUCUUAUAGCGUUUCUAGUUGCAGG